AAGCGAUGAUGAUAUUUAGUCAUGCACCACUCUGAUUUGAUUUUAAUCGAUCAUUGUUGAAAAUUGACACAAACCCAUUUGUUUAUCUGAGCUU
rnacentral:snoRNA from 1 species